GUUCCUGUAGUUGAAGACAAUGACGGCUUUUCAAGCCGUAGGUCUCGGAUAGUGGCCGAGCAGGAACAA
rnacentral:tRNA from 1 species